ACCAAAGAUGAGGAGUCAGGGUAAGAAAGUAGUGGGAGGGUAGGAGAAACACAAGGUGAUAGGUGAAACCGGGAGAAGAGGGGGUGAAAUAAAGAGCUGGGAAGUUGAUUGGUGAAAGAGAUACAGGGCUGGAGAAGAGAUAAUCUGAUAGGAAAGCCACGGAAGAAAGAAAAGUGGGAGGAGUAUCAGAGGGAGGUGAUCGGCAGGCAAAUACAGUAACUCCAAGGAACACAAUGGAAGACUGCACCCAACUGGAUGGACCAACAACCAAUGUGUAUAAGACAACAAACUAUUUUCUAAGUAAGAAAACAGGAGCAUCUGGAGGAAACCCACGCGGUCAGGGGGACAAGAUACAAAUUCCCUGCAGGCAGCAGCGGGAAUUGGAACCCAAUCGCUCACCGCCGGUCGCUGGUGCUGUAAUGUGCUAGCCUCUACACUGCCACGCUGCCUGCGGUAUAUUCAAAUCACAUGCAAGUGUGACUUCAAGGCGCGGUGCCUUCAGGAAGGGCUCCCACCAUCCAGGACAAGCCCUCUUCUCAUUGUUGCCAUCAGGAAGGAGGUAGCCAAGCCACACACUCAGCGAUUCAGGAACAGCUUCUUCCCCUCUGCCAUUUGAUUUCUGAAUCCACAUCGAACCCAUGAACACUACCUCAGUGCUUUUUUUUAUUUCUGUUUUUUUCUUGCACUAUGUAAUAGACAUAUAUAUACUUACUGUAAUUCAGUAUUUUUCUCUGUAUUUAUUUAUCAUGUAUUUCAUUGCACUGCUGCCGUAAACUUAGUGAAUUUCACAACAUAUGCCGGUGAUAUUAAACCUCAUUCUGAAAUGUACUACCUUGAGGAGCACAUCAUAGUGAAAGAGUUGUAAAGAUGAACUGAAGAUGUGGCAUGACUUGUAAGUAACCCCAGUGACUACCUUUAUAUUGUAUACAAAGUCACAGUCCAUCAAAAUAAACUUCACU